rnacentral:rRNA from 1 species
CCUACGGGGGGCAGCAGUGGGGGAUAUUGGGCAAUGGCGGCAACUCUGACCCAGCAACGCCGCGUGAAUGAUGAAGUUUUUCGGAAUGUAAAGUUCUGUGAUGGGGGGAGAACACAAUGACGGUACCCCAAUAGCAAGCCCCGGCUAACUACGUGCCAGCAGCCGCGGUAAUACGUAGGGGGCAAGCGUUAUCCGGAAUUACUGGGAGUAAAGGGUGCGUAGGUGGUUGUGCAAGUUGGUGGUGUAAUGCCGGGUCUCAACCCCGGUGCUACCGGGAAAACUAUAUGGCUAGAGUGCAGGAGGGGUAAGUGGAAUUCCUAGUGUAGCGGUGGAAUGCGUAGAUAUUAGGAGGAACACCAGGGGCGAAGGCGACUUAUUGGACUGUAACUGACAUUGAGGCACGAAAGCGUGGGGAGCAAACAGGAUUAGAUACCCCUGUAGUC